rnacentral:pre_miRNA from 1 species
UACAACGUUUGACUCUUCGUCUUAUUUAAAAAAAAUCUAUGAUUAAUAUUUUGUUUGUUAUUAGAUAAUAAAAUACGAAUAGUGUUUUAUGUGUUACUUUUUUAUUUAAAAAAAGAAUUAUAUAAGACGGACGGUGAAACGUUGGACAUAAAAACCUA